rnacentral:rRNA from 1 species
UCUUUUUUUUUAAUUUAUUUUUUUUUGUUAUUUAUUAGUUGGUUAUUUGUUUAAUAAUUUCCUUUUGUAUUAGGAUUUAAAGAUUGUAUUAUAUUUUUAUCUUCCCGAAUUUGAUUUGAACUAUCUUGUGAAUUUUUUUAUGUUGAAUUAAUAAAUGUUUGAUUGAUGUUAUAUGCUUCCGUUUUCUUUGAUAUCUGGUUUCUUAUUAUUUUAAGGGUAAAGCUUUAAUUUUUGUUUAUUGUGUGGUUUUUUUAAAAAAAUUGUUAAUAUUUCUUUUUAUAUGUUUUAAUUAAAUUAAGGUUGUUUGUUUUAUUUGAUUUUUUAGAAUUUUCUUUUAUAGUUUUCUUUUAUAAUUUUAAAAUUAGUAGAUUUAUAUUAUUUGUAUUUUUUUGUUUGUUUUUUUAAAAGUUUUUUUUUAUAAUUGGUAAUUUGAAAAUAUAAAUGUUUAUCAAAAUCAAUUCUAAUUUAUUUUUUAGUAUUCCCUGCUCGGUGAUAUUUAACAGCCAUGGUAUUUUGACUAUGCUAAGGUAGCGUAAUCAUUUGUUUUUUUAUUGGAAACCUGUAUGAAUGGGAUUUUAUGUUUUCUUUUUUAUAUUAUUAUAUUUGAAUUUGUUUUAUUUGUAAAAAAUUUAAGUAGAUUUUUAAAAGACUAAAAGACCCUUAAAUUUUUAUUUAUUUUUAAAUUUCUAAAAAGUUUUUAUUUAUUUUUAAAUUUGAAGUUUUUUUGGUUGGGGUAAUUUUUUAUUUUAAUUUAUUUUAUUUUGUUUUUUGAUCUUUUUUUUAACUAUUUGUUUAAAUACUUAAGGGAUAACAGCGUAAUUAUUUUGGUUAGUUCUUAUUAAUAAUUUUUUUUGCGACCUCGAUGUUGGUUUGUUUUUCCUGUUUGAGGUAGAAUGUAAAUUAGGAAGUCUGUUCGACUUUUAAAAAAGCACAUGAACUGAGUUCAAGUCGGCGUGAGCCAGACUGGAUUUUAUCUUUAAAUUUUGUUUGUUCUUUUAGUACGAGAGGACCAUUGAGUUUUUUUUAUUG